rnacentral:rRNA from 1 species
GGCUCAGGAUGAACGCUAGCUACAGGCUUAACACAUGCAAGUCGUGGGGCAGCAUAUAGAUAGCUUGCUAUUUAUGAUGGCGACCGGCGCACGGGUGAGUAACGCGUAUUCAACCUUCCCCAUAGUAGGGUAUAGCCCGGCGAAAGUCGGAUUAAUCCCCUAUGUUGUUUGAAGCGGACAUCUAAUUCAAACCAAAGAUUCAUCGCUAUGGGAUGGGGAUGCGUCUGAUUAGGUUGCAGGCGGGGUAACGGCCCACCUGGCCGACGAUCAGUAGGGGUUCUGAGAGGAAGGUCCCCCACACUGGUACUGAGACACGGACCAGACUCCUACGGGAGGCAGCAGUGAGGAAUAUUGGUCAAUGGGCGCGAGCCUGAACCAGCCAAGUAGCGUGCAAGGAUGACGGCCCUACGGGUUGUAAACUGCUUUUAUGCGGGGAUAAAGUGCGGCACGUGUGCCGUUUUGCAGGUACCGCAUGAAUAAGGACCGGCUAAUUCCGUGCCAGCAGCCGC